AUACGUAGGGAGCGAGCGUUGUCCGGAAUCACUGGGCGUAAAGGGCACGCAGGCGGUUCGAUAAGUCAAAUGUGAAAUACACUGGCUUAACCAGUGGGCUGCGUUUGAAACUAUCGAACUAGAGGGCAGAAGAGGAGAGUAGAAUUCCUAGUGUAGCGGUGAAAUGCGUAGAUGUUAGGAAGAAUACCAGUAGCGAAGGCGACUCUCUGGGCUGACCCUGACGCUGAGGUGCGAAAGCGUGGGUAUCAAACGGGAUUAGAUACCCCGGUAGUCCACGCUGUAAACGCUGGAUAUUAGGUGUUGUGGGUUAAACUCCCGCAGUGCCGUAAGUUAACGCGUUAAAUAUCCCGCCUGGGGACUACGAUCGCAAGAUUGAA
rnacentral:rRNA from 1 species